rnacentral:rRNA from 1 species
AUUGAACGCUGGCGGCAGGCCUAACACAUGCAAGUCGAGCGAGCGGCGGACGGGUGAGUAAUGUCUGGGAAACUGCCUGAUGGAGGGGGAUAACUACUGGAAACGGUAGCUAAUACCGCAUACCAUCAGAUGUGCCCAGAUGGGAUUAGCUAGUUGGUGGGGUAAAGGCCUACCAAGGCGACGAUCUGUAGCGGGUCUGAGAGGAUGAUCCGCCACACUGGGACUGAGACACGGCCCAGACUCCUACGGGAGGCAGCAGUGGGGAAUAUUGGACAAUGGGGGGAACCCUGAUCCAGCCAUGCCGCGUGUGUGAAGAAGGCCUUCGGGUUGUAAAGCACUUUCAGCGGGGAGGCGUUACCCGCAGAAGAAGCACCGGCUAACUCCGUGCCAGCCGCCGCGGUAAUUC